UAAGGAAGCUUUCUACACUUUGGCUUCCUCUUUAAGAAAACGAAGAUAAUGAUAAACCCUGUCGCAUGGAGUUGGUAUGCAAGGGCAUGGGGCAACGUGGUCAGUUCCUGUCUACGGGCUGGAGCAUCUUGAAAUAAGCUGCCUCUAGCAAUGCCCAGCUUUCAAGCAUCACACGACCUUCGCCUGGGGACAUGGCACAGGAAAUCAUCUAUGCUGGUGCACCGAUGAGUUUUUCUCCUUAACUGGACCAAAGCCUUGUCUGUGAAACAAAUGGCCAAUUCCAUCGACGUUCAAAAAUAAAAUCCACAUGCACUCAUGUUUUAAA